rnacentral:lncRNA from 1 species
GUCUCCCCCUGCACCUCCCGAGCAAAGUGAAGGACGUGGCCCUGUGAGGUGAUGGGGAGCCCUGGAAGACUUCAGAGCAGGGGAGGGACAAGGAGCAAGGUGGCCGUGGGAAGAUGGCUCCAGCAGCAUGCAGAAGAUGGACAGGAGUGGAUAGGGACAAAGGUGGAAAAGGAGAGAAUAAGCAUCUGCCAUUUGUUCACUGCAGAGGGUUUGCUGUGAUCAGAUCAACCCAGGAAGUCCUUCCUGCCUUCUUCCAGCCUACAAUGACAUCCGCCUCCUCUGAGCUCACAAUCUCUUGCAACCCAUCGGAAGCACCAUGUUAGCACUUGAUUGUUCCCCUGUCUUAUCUUCAAUUCUCUCAUGAAGAUUAGUCUUGGCUCUCGGACGAGCUCAUAAAAAGCCUCCUUGGUUAGAUUCACCUGAACUGGGGAGGCGGAGGUUGCAGUAAACUGAGAUCAUGCCAUGGCACUCCAGCCUGGGUGACAAGAUUGAAA